AUUGAACGCUGGCGGCAGGCCUAACACAUGCAAGUCGAGCGGCAGCGGGAAAGUAGCUUGCUACUUUUGCCGGCGAGCGGCGGACGGGUGAGUAAUGCCUGGGGCGCUGCCCAGUCGAGGGGGAUAACUACUGGAAACGGUAGCUAAUACCGCAUACGCCCUACGGGGGAAAGCAGGGGACCUUCGGGCCUUGCGCGAUUGGAUGACCCCAGGUGGGCUUAGCUAGUUGGUGAGGUAAUGGCUCACCAAGGGGACGAUCCCUAGCUGGUCUGAGAGGAUGAUCAGCCACACUGGAACUGAGACACGGUCCAGACUCCUACGGGAGGCAGCAGUGGGGAAUAUUGCACAAUGGGGGAAACCCUGAUGCAGCCAUGCCGCGUGUGUGAAGAAGGCCUUCGGGUUGUAAAGCACUUUCAGCGAGGAGGAAAGGUUGGUAGCUAAUAACUGCCAGCUGUGACGUUACUCGCAGAAGAAGCACCGGCUAACUCCGUGCCAGCAGCCGCGGUAA
rnacentral:rRNA from 1 species